UACGUAGGGUGCAAGCGUUGUCCGGAAUUAUUGGGCGUAAAGAGCUCGUAGGCGGUUUGUCGCGUCUGCUGUGAAAACUCGGGGCUUAACCCCGGGCCUGCAGUGGGUACGGGCAGACUAGAGUGCGGUAGGGGAGACUGGAAUUCCUGGUGUAGCGGUGAAAUGCGCAGAUAUCAGGAGGAACACCGGUGGCGAAGGCGGGUCUCUGGGCAGUUUCUGACACUGAGGCGCGACAGCGUGGGGAGCAAACAGG
rnacentral:rRNA from 1 species